UUUAGAUUAUUAAAAUUCUUAAUAUUUAAAUUCAAAUAUUGACCUUGUAGUUUUUUUCAUUAUACAACAUCAACAUGUGACAGAACCUUAAAAUAAGGGCAGUAUAAUUCCUUUUCUUUCUUCUUUUUACCUUGACCAUUUUUGUAUCACAGACCUGCCUUUGUACUCGCUAUUGUACUCUUUCUAUAUUAAGGAGGCAAGUAGACAAGCAGGAUUUAUUGGACAUCAAACGUCCACAGCUCUAAACUUCAACAAUCAUGCGACAAGUGACAGGGCGUGAAAUACAUUUCAAGAGAGACAAUAAAGACCUGCAGCUGUUGUCUGUGGUAAGGUAAGACAGGGCCAAGGUCACAGCUGUGAGAUCUCUUUCAUUAUCACUCACCACUGGUAACAGUAAGAUCGACACGCCCAGUGCAACACUGGACACGUGGAACUUUUUCCUUUUCUUUAGCAAGUGUUCAGUCUCCAUAUUCAAGCUGAAGUUCAUGUUACACAAAUACAUGUUACCAGGGCAUACUUUGAACUGAACAAGUGUUAUCAGUCAUCAUCUACUGCUUUAUAUUGGUUGUAAAUCAAACAGAUGAAAUUUUCAGAUUUCAUUAAAUUAGAAGCAAAUAAAGGGUAAGAAGGGUUUUUAUCCUUGAUGGAGGUAAAACAUUUGACAAAUCAAUAAAUGGUAAAGGCAAAUAAGUAAACAAAGGAAUUACGUGACUGAAAUUAAUGUCACCACAGCUCCUGCAUUUCACUGCACCGGGAAAACAACAUUCUCUUACUUGCCACAAGCAAAUGCUACUAUAGUAAUAAGGGUUUUGUCCAUUGUGAUGGUUUGAUCUCACUUGGCCCUUUAUUUAUAACCUCUAUUUGCACCCUCUUAUCCUUAUAUGGUGCCCGGACUUAAACGUUUGCGCCACCUACUGCCUGAGUAGACGAACUAACCAAUCAAACCAGUGGGUGGUUUCUUUUACAGAACUUUUGAAAUCUUUAUAUUUCAAUUUCAUACUGUGCGACCAGCAAUAAUUAAUGACUAACUCGGCUGUAAAAGGAAAACAGGAUGGGUGCGAUUCAUGUAAACAUACGUUUGGCCAUGACCUACAUACAGAUCAAAGGAAGGUGAGGGUGGUGUCUGUCUAGGCAGAAAACCUGCUAUGUGGCUAGUGUGAAAAUGUGUUUUUAACUAUGAAUCCAGAAAGAUUAAUCACAUUGCCCUAAAAACUUCGUCCGAUGGCAAAUUUUGCAAGUCGUGGUGUGCACACCAAAUUGGGUAAGUUUUUGUGCAGGGCAAAGUGCACUCAAAAAGUAAAUGAAAGAAAAAUAAUUGGAUUGGAUACAAUAGGGCCUUUGCAACAGUUGGUUCUCAACCCUUAAAUGAAGAGUAUGCAACGUAUUGUUCAAGGCUUGUUCAAGGCAAAAAAGUCUUAUUAGACCUAUGAGAUGACAAAGAUAGACAAGGAUUAAAGGGUCCCAAAGGGUUGCGGGGCUUUAGCACCACCUGCUGUUAAACAUAAGAAAAACCCAGAGAGGCUUAACUUUUUGAUGAUACAUAUGAUGGUCAGAGCAUCAUGGAUGAUUUUGUUGCAAAAGGCCUAACACUGCAUGACUGCAUGAGGAGCAUUUUUGUCCAUUAAGCUACAAAAGGUGGCGUUGAAAAAAACCAAACAUCUAUGGGCCAUCCCUGCAAACAAAUUAUUAUUAUUAUAAUUAAAUAUGUGAUGCCAACAAAUAGCUUAAUUUCUUUAUAGAUUAUGGUCAUGUAUGUAUAAUUAUUGCAUAAAAUGAAGAAAAGGAAAGUCACAGUUUUGUUUCUGCAUGAUCCCCUACAUACAUAUUCAAUGAUUGUGCUCUGAAACAAUGUCAAAGUGCUGUGACCUGUACUUCACACUUCUGUUCGCAAGAUGGCUGCUGCAAGUGCCCUUGGCCUGAUCCAGUUGACAUGGCAUUGUUUUCUUCUAUGUAUCCUUGAGGACAAAGAUAACUUGUGAAAUUCCUGCUGGCGGCCUUCGGGUACCUUUGGGGACAGCUUGUGACGCUGGUGGUCGGGGAAGGUUUUUCCGUUGACCAGCGGCAACAGACUAUGGACUUCUGCGCGGACACUUGUCUCCUGAUGAGGCAAAGAUCAGGACAUGGCAAAGUGUUAGAAUGGUGUCUUGAAGGACUGCACCUCAAAGUGCACCCAAGUCCAGAUUCUCUGUUGCAUGCAUAUUGCUGCAGAAAGAAAGACCACACUGCUGAUUUGAAGAGGAUCCUGUUGGGGAAACCUUUCCUGCAGAUCCUGAUGCCCUCCAGCACACCGUUACAGCGCAGCUGGUGCAUCACCAGGGGAUUCUCCAUAGCCCCAGGAGUCUUUGUCUCGUUGGGGAUGAUGCAGCGCACAAAGUGAGGCUGUCUCAAUCCCUGUGGAAACCUCCAUCUGUGCCGUGCGUUGCCCCCCUCCCUGACAGUCAGGGCCUGACUCAUCUCCUUUUCUUUGAGUCACAGCCAUGCAGACGCACCCCAAAGAUCAAACUUUUGAAGGUCACACCAUGUGAGAUCAAAGUCAGUGUUGGGUCCUGCACACAUGUCAAGCUGAGAUACAUACAACCUUCACUUUGCUUCUUCUGACGGUGUGAGAGGGUGAGAAUCACUCCCUCCCUGUUCUGGUGCAGGUGAAC